GUGUAAAUUAUAGAGGAAAAAAUAGAGUGCCUUUGGAGAUGCUCUUAGUACCCAAAUAUUAAGAAAACUAUAUUUUUCUUAAAAAAAUAUUUAAAGAUAUCAAUACAAUACUAAAAGGGGGAUAAUCUCAACUCUCAUCUAUGCCACAUCAUCAAAAAUAAUCCUCCAAUCAUAACUCUUUAUUUUCGGGUUGGGCUUCAAAUCACAAUUGAAUGGGCUUUGUUUCACUUCCGAGUUACGGGUCGCAUGUGUUUCGGUUUUGUCGUUGUUUUGGUUUUGUCUUUUAACUAAGCCUAGAUCUACGGAGACGAAGUCGCGAGUCUGCGAGUCUCUUCUCCUCAUCCCCAAUUCACUUCGUCUUCUCACAUUCAAACCGUAGCUUCUGAGUUUUUUCAUCCUAUUCUUCACAAUCAAUUUCGCAAUCAAUCUCUUCUUAGCGAAUCUAAGGAGAUGAGGAAGAGAAGCGCGAGAAAGAGGAGAGCCGAGGCAGGGCCACCACUGGUGCCCGAUCCGAGAGAGGAAAUUGGAGGCGAGGAGGUAGAUGUGGGGAUGCUUGGUCUUGGAUUCGUCGGCGCCGGAUUCGCCGGGAUAAGAGAGAUCGGCGUCGGAGUGAGGACGGCGGAAGGAGAGAGCGCGAUCGAGCAUCGUCAUCGCGUUGGCCCGUAAACCCAUUAACGAGACCUAAUCAGAGAGCGCACCACCAAACCGUCACGAGGAUCUCUAUCUCCUUCUCUGUUGCGCAGGAGACGAUCUCCAUCUCUAUUCGUCCUUUCCGAACCUGAGAAACGUGAACGGAGAUGGUACCUUUGUCAUUAUCUCAACAUAAUCUCUGGCCGCCGAAAUCUGUAUCUACGGUGUUUUGGGGUUACGCAACCGCCACAUCGAAACACGCCUGCGACCAUCUUCGCCGUCACCUCCGACUUGGCUUCCAUAUCCGCUCUUCCCUUCAGAUACUGCUGCAAGUCUAUGAUGCUGCACGAACGGAGUUCUCAAGAAGAGUCGUUGUAUUCAACAGGGCUAAGUUUCUUCACUCCAGAGAUGAUAUCAGAUCUUUGUUAUCUGUAUGUUUCUUUAGUGGAUGAGAGAGUAGGAUAGGUACUAGAGGUGAGGAGGGGUCAUCAUCAAACCAGGAGACAUCCAAGAGAAACACAGGCAGUGGACGGAGGUGGACCAAUGUCCUCCUUGCCAUUAACGUUAUGUAAUGUGUUUAGUUCUUCUCUCUGUUACAUGUAACAAUAGAUCAUGUCUUUUGGUUUGAGAUGUUGCAUUAGAUAAAUGCUUUAGGCUUAUGGGUUUCAUUCUUGUGUCAUGACAGAAUGUAUAUUGCACAAGUUGCAUCCAAUGGUAGAGUGCUGACAUGGGGAGCCAAGGUAUCAUAUUCAGAGACUUGAUUAAAUACAAGAGGGAAACAGUUUGAUAUCUGAAUAUCUCUGUUCCAUUUCUCUUAAGUCUAUCUCCAAUGAAAUUUUUUGGUUCUUACGAUAAGCCAACUCAUCUAAUAGCUUUUACAAAUAAAACGUUGUUUGUUCUCUUCUCACCGCUUGCUCGAAACAGGUAUGUUAAUUAUUUUUUUUUGUCCUGUGGAAUUUCAGGUCUUUGUUUUUUUUUUAAUAAGUUACAAUGUUUAGAUUAAGAGUUUUGAAUUUAAUGUGUUUGGUGGAAGCUCAGCGUUGGCUGCAACUCUUACUUGGGACAAUGAACUGUCUUGGACGCUGGAGAAUACUACUGAAGAACUUUAAGAGACUAUGCUUUAGGUUUCUUCUGUUGUUAUGAGGUUACGUAUAGGGACUCUCUAGAAUUAUAUGUUCUUAGCAAGAAUUAUGUUCCCACAAAAGGAUCGCAUUACACUGCUGUAAAGAAGGCUUUGGAGAUGAUUAAGCAAAAUAUUUCAUCUCUUAGUAAGAGUGAAGGGCAUGAUGCUUAUCACUUCUCUCUGCAACUAACUGGUGCACCAGCUCUUAUCGGGAACAUGAUAUGUAUAUAAGUAGUCUCUUGGUGAAUUAUGUUUGAUUCACAUAUCUUGAAGAAAUUGUUGUUAAAGAUAUGUGCAUUUUGUUUGACAUACAUCUUUGUGCAAUCACCUGAGAGGAUUUUCCAAAGGAACCGGUUAGGCAUCUGCAGUGAAGCUUUGACUGCAACUAGGCCUCGAGCUGCUUCAACUGCGUGUGAUAUCGAGAUAUAGCGUGACUUACUAACCAGGUGAGUUUUUAAUUCUACUGUUUUAAAAAAUCACAUAAUCCCAAGCCCUUUUUUCAUUGAAAUUUCCGGAUAUGGAUACUGAUUUGGUUUACCAAAUUGCUGCAUCCCUAAAGAUGACUUGAGUUUCCGGAUAUUCCUAUUGCUCUGCAUCUUUUAAACCUUUUGUCUAUAGUUAGUUUGAAUUUUGACCUUUAACAAGUGUACUGACACAUGUUAUAUUAUCAUAUUUCUUCCUUUCAGUCUAUAUGUGAGAAAAAACUGUGAAGAAGCUUGCAUUAUUGCAGCACCUAUAUUCUCAAUUGGCGGAGAAGCUGAGGAGAGAAGAUGACAAGGUGAGAUAAUAGUAUUUGAAUAAUUUUACAUAGCAUGAUCAUCUAGAUAGCUUGAAGUUAAGGGUUGUGAAUGUUAUCUCCAGGUUUUUCUUUUCUUCACAGUUGGUUUGAGUCCUUUGUGUUUUUAUCUACAGUUUAACGUCAUCUUGGCUGCUCUGCAUCCAACUCCAGCUGUUUGUGUGCUUCCAGCAGAAGAAGCCAUACUUUUGAUCAAGCAAAUUGGUGAAAUAUUAGCUGUUUGUAACAUAUUUUUAUAAAUGCACUUCUCUACAACCAGAGCCAAACCGGUCAGAUUGUAAGCUUGCCUCAUCUCUGGGAAGAUGAGCUCAUGUCCUAAACUAAAGAAUCUUUCAUUAGGUUGCAGUAUCUGUAUCUGUUUUUUUUUUCAUCAUAUCCACCAUCAACUAACUUGAGUAUAGAUGUUCCGAAACAAUAACAAUGAGGAAAAAGAAGGGCUUUAUGAUUACCGAUCCUGUGAAGAUUGAAAAAAUAGUUAUGAAUGUGGUCUCCCCGAAUCCCCAAAGCAGCUUGAGCAGUAACGAAGUGGGAAAACAAAGCCUCAAGGCUUUUGCUGGUCAGGUAUUGUAGAUAGGACGAGCCCUUUGAUUAAUACAUUGCAACACGUUGAUGGUACCAAAAUAAUUAUUACUUAAUAUAGCAUUCACAAGAAUGAUUUUUCUGGUUUAAUCGUAGUUCUUUUUCAAGUACCCGUCAAUUACAUCUCCAUGCUGCAUAUCGUACAAGGAACAAAUAAGUUAUAGUGUGUGGUUAUCUAACCUAAAUUAAAAAGAAUAAUACAAGUACAUUCUUUCACAACUUUUCGUGGCAUUUCAACAAAGAAAAUUCCAGUAAUAGCCGAGUUAACAUGAUAGAAAUUCAAGCAGCAUAAGCUCACUUUUAAUUAAAAAAAUUUUAGUAACAUUUAUUUUGAAAAUUACAGUUGUUUUGUGGAUAACAUAAUUCAUUUCAUUUUCAAAUAUGAUAGCAAUACAAAAUUUGAACAAAAAAAAAUAAAAUUUCAAAAUAUGCAUACCUAACUUAACCUUUUUUUUUCUAUAACUGUGAAAACAAUUAUAUCGCAAUAAUCAAUGUUCAAAUUUAAAUAUA